rnacentral:rRNA from 1 species
UACGUAGGGGCUAGCGUUGUCCGGAAUCAUUUGGGCGUAAGCGCGAUGUAGGCGGCCCGGUAAGUCCGCUGUGAAAGUCCAGGGCUCAACCCUGGGAACUGCCGGUGGAUACGUGCCGGGCUAGAGUUCGAAGAGGCGAGUGGAAUUCCUGGUGUAGCGGGUGGAAAUGCGGCAGAGUAUCAAGGAGGAACACCUAUAGCGAAGGCAG